GGGCGAUUAGCUCAGUUGGGGAGAGCACCUGCCUUACAAGCAGGGGGUCACUGGUUCGAGCCCGGUAUCGCCCACCA
rnacentral:tRNA from 1 species